rnacentral:rRNA from 1 species
GUAAGGAAUAUUGGUCAAUGGACGAAAGUCUGAACCAGCCAUGCCGCGUGGAGGAUGAAGGUCCUCUGGAUUGUAAACUUCUUUUAUCUGGGACGAAAAAAGGUCUUUCUAGAUCGUCUGACGGUACCAGAUGAAUAAGCACCGGCUAACUCCGUGCCAGCAGCCGCGGUAAUACGGAGGGUGCAAGCGUUAUCCGGAUUCACUGGGUUUAAAGGGUGCGUAGGUGGGUUGGUAAGUCAGUGGUGAAAUCUUCGAGCUUAACUCGGAAACUGCCAUUGAUACUAUCAGUCUUGAAUAUUGUGGAGGUUAGCGGAAUAUGUCAUGUAGCGGUGAAAUGCUUAGAUAUGACAUAGAACACCAAUUGCGAAGGCAGCUGGCUACACAUAUAUUGACACUGAGGCACGAAAGCGUGGGGAUCAAACAGGAUUAGAUACCCCUGUAGUCC